rnacentral:rRNA from 1 species
CCUACGGGAGGCAGCAGUGGGGAAUUUUGGACAAUGGGCGCAAGCCUGAUCCAGCCAUGCCGCGUGCAGGAUGAAGGCCUUCGGGUUGUAAACUGCUUUUGUACGGAACGAAAAGGUUUGGCCUAAUAAGUUGAACUCAUGACGGUACCGUAAGAAUAAGCACCGGCUAACUACGUGCCAGCAGCCGCGGUAAUACGUAGGGUGCGAGCGUUAAUCGGAAUUACUGGGCGUAAAGCGUGCGCAGGCGGUUAUGUAAGACAGAUGUGAAAUCCCCGGGCUCAACCUGGGAACUGCAUUAGUGACUGCAUAGCUGGAGUACGGCAGAGGGGGAUGGAAUUCCGCGUGUAGCAGUGAAAUGCGUAGAUAUGCGGAGGAACACCGAUGGCGAAGGCAAUCCCCUGGGCCUGUACUGACGCUCAUGCACGAAAGCGUGGGGAGCAAACAGGAUUAGAUACCCUGGUAGUCCACGCCCUAAACGAUGUCAACUGGUUGUUGGGUCUUCACUGACUCAGUAACGAAGCUAACGCGUGAAGUUGACCGCCGNGGGAGGACGGCCGCGAGGUAGUAACGUUAAAGUUAGUAAGUUAGUACGGCGUAGAGACGUUACGCCGACGGACGACGACGAGGGAGGAGG